ACUCCUACGGGUGGCUGCAGUGGGGAAUAUUGCACAAUGGGCGCAAGCCUGAUGCAGCGACGCCACGUGGGGGAUGACGGCCUUCGGGUUGUAAACUCCUUUCGCCAGGGACGAAGCUUUUUGUGACGGUACCUGGAGAAGAAGCACCGGCUAACUACGUGCCAGCAGCCGCGGUAAUACGUAGGGCGCAAGCGUUGUCCGGAAUUACUGGGCGUAAAGAGCUCGUAGGUGGUUUGUCACGUCGUCUGUGAAAUUCCACAGCUUAACUGUGGGCGUGCAGGCGAUACGGGCUGACUUGAGUACUGUAGGGGUAACUGGAAUUCCUGGUGUAGCGGUGAAAUGCGCAGAUAUCAGGAGGAACACCGAUGGCGAAGGCAGGUUACUGGGCAGUUACUGACGCUGAGGAGCGAAAGCAUGGGUAGCAAACAGGAUUAAAUACCCUGGUAGUCCAUGCCGUAAACGGUGGGCGCUAGGUGUAGGGGCCUUUUGGGGUUUCUGUGCCGUAGCUAACGCAUUAAGCGCCCCGCCUGGGGAGUACGGCCGCAAGGCUAAAACUCAAAGGAAUUGACGGGGGCCCGCACAAGCGGCGGAGCAUGUGGAUUAAUUCGAUGCAACGCGAAGAACCUUACCUGGGCUUGACAUACACCGGAUCGCUGCAGAGAUGUAGUUUCCCUUGUGGCUGGUGUACAGGUGAUGCAUGGAUGUCGUCAGCUCGUG
rnacentral:rRNA from 1 species